AACGAACGCUGGCGGCAGGCCUAACACAUGCAAGUCGAACGAACCUUCGGGUGAGUGGCGCACGGGUGCGUAACGCGUGGGAAUAUACACAUAGGUGAGGAAUAACGUAGAGAAAUUUGCGCUAAUACCUCAUAAUGACUCCGGUCCAAAGAUUUAUCGCCUAUGAAUUAGCCCGCGUCAGAUUAGAUAGUUGGUGAGGUAAAGGCUCACCAAGUCUACGAUCUGUAGGGGGUCUGAGAGGAUGAUCCCCCACACUGGUACUGAGACACGGACCAGACUCCUACGGGAGGCAGCAGUGAGGAAUAUUGGACAAUGGGGGCAACCCUGAUCCAGCCAUGCCGCGUGAGUGAAGAAGGCCUUAGGGUUGUAAAGCUCUUUCAAUAGUGAAGAUAAUGACGGUAACUAUACAAGAAGCUCCGGCUAAAUUCG
rnacentral:rRNA from 1 species